GACAUGGCAAGCAGACGUCAACCAAGACAGAAGAAGUGAGAGCACUCUGUUGUCGGUCUUCACUGUUAAGACAAAUCAUUUCACAACAACCAAUGUAAAAUAAUUAACACCAAAGCAACAGAGAGAAAAGGAGAAGAAAGACAAGAGAUAACAGUGGUCAUCCUGGCUUGUCAGCAAUGGGGAACAGUGAUAGCAGAGUAGUAAACUCAAAAGCAGUUGGCAUUGCUGUGGGAUUUGGGAUCUUGGCCAUCCUCUUUACAAUUGGUAUUGUUCAAUUUUGCUGCAAGUACAAAUGCAAAAAAUUGAAAAAGUGCUGCAAGAAAAAGGAUCCAUCAUUGAAAGACAAAGUCCUUACCAAGGUUGGCUUAAAGAAGUCUUCUCCUCCCUUCUCCAUCAGCAGCUCUGUAAAAUGAAAAUUGGGUUGAUACUGGCAACUACAAAAUGCAAGACACACCCAUCAUCUAUUGCUAUCCUGCACUAUGUAUAAUUCUGUACGUGCUGUACUUUAAGUUAAUGUUUAAACCUAAUACAAUGUUAUUCUGCAUUUUGUAUUAUGUUUGAAUGAGGGUACCUUUUUAGUUUGUUGGUGCUUUUGAAACAUGUACCUGUCCCAUAGCCAAUGCUUUUUAAAAUCACAUCUUUUAAACAAAGUCUUUUUAUUUAUUUAAACUGAAAGCAAUGCAUUUAAUAUGAUUAUGUAAAUGCAACAAUGGAUUUUUAUAAUCCUGAUGUAACUUUAAAAGGGCAAAUAAACAUGUAUAUAUGUAUAGAUAUUGGUUAAAUGUCAGGAUCACUUUUGCUAUUUGUCACGAGAAACUGACAGCAUGCUGUGGUGUGUCUUGUGAUAUUAAGUUGAACGCACCCACCCACAUAGAAAGCAAGAAAAGGAAGCAGAUACAUUGCAUUGCUGAUGAGAACUUUUGAGGGGAAGGCAGAAUAUCUCAGCCACAGCAACCAGACAGAUCAGUUUUCUUGUAAGCUGCAGGUGACUUCCGUCUAAAUUCACAUAUCUACUGCCUUUCUGAUACUUUCUAUGGUAGGGUGAACUUUGAUGUCUCAUUGUUUUACCUUUUAAUGAAACUAAAUCAUGUUCCCUGUAUCUGAGGUCAUUUCCAUAUAUGAGCCACCUGCAGUGGAAAAACAUGUUAUAACUUAGUUGCAUGUCUUAUAAUACAAUUUUGAACACUUUCUCACAAAGCUUUGGAUGAUUUCAGACUCCCCUGUCUGCAAUUGAGUCAUGUUGUUUCAAACCUCUCUGUUUCUUUCUAAUCAUAUGUGGUCAAAAAACAGUAUAAUGUUGAACUUCAAAAUAAAAAUAAUCCCUUUCAAAGCUGUCAACAGUAAUAGUUGUGUAUGGUAACUGCUCCCAUUUUCAUGUGGCUUUGUGGAUGGAGCCUUUAUCAGUCAACUAUCUGUGGCUGUGCUGAUUUGCAUUGACACAAAUAUAUCAUGCAUCUGCACAACAGCUGGCAACCACUGAUAAUUGGAUAGGCAUCGAUGGUAAUCCUGAGUUAAAGUCUGAAAUGAGUUAUGAGGCUUUAUCUUAUUGUACAGUUGUCUUUUUUUUAUAACCUUAUUACUCUUAAAAUAUCAUUUGUCUCAAGCAAAUCUCAGAUCAUUUAAAUAUUUUACAUAAGCCAAGUUCAAGUUUUAGAUGCUGAACAAAGUCUCUCAGAAACAUAACUUUUUAAAGAAAGUAGCAGGGUCAAAUCAACCUACUGGGGAACCUCAGGGCAAAAGAAACUCCAUGCGAUCACUGCACUCUUGUUUUCAAUAUUUGUAGGUCGAUGUCAACAUGUUGAUGAAGACACAGAGUAUUUUUUAUUUAAAAAUAAUGAUAAUAAAAUAAAUAAAUAAAUCUUCUCAUAAUCAGUAUAGAAAACCUUGAAGUUUUAGAAACCUUGUAGAACAGUGUUGCCCAGAGGGGGAUCAGAUGUUCUAAUGAACAUAAUGGACAUAUUAUCUGGGACUACACACAUCCCCAAAAGAGGUUAAUUCUUAGUUCACAUCGGACAUUACCUAUGUCAGAAAGGCCUGGUCUCAUGACACAAUGUAUGAGUAAUACUCAAAGUAAUACAGGGUGCAAUUACGCCACGUCCUUUUUAUUUUUGUUUGUCAUUUCCAAGCAUUUACUGUAAAAAGUGACACAUGACCAAAACUUUUACCCUAUACUUUUGGUGUUUCCCUUUGAUGAUGUAAAAUAAGAUGUUAAAAGCCAAAACAUAUAACUCAUAAGAUGUAAUUUUGCAUCCUUUUUUCUGUGCAUUACCAUGUACAGUAAUGAACAAACAGGAACUUUCCCAGUUGUUCUUGACUUAAUCACUUACACAGUACUUUGCAGUUUUAUUCUCAGCCUUUAGGGUUAAAUAAAGUUGUCUAUCUUUCCCCUUUAUUAUACUUCAUUUUACAUGCAGAGAAAAGAUCACCUGAUUUUCUUAUCAUUGUUCCUGGUAUCAGAAAACAUUUAACCCUGUUGACAUUAUUUCCUCUCUUUGCUCUACAUGUGAUGUGGGACUUUUUUAAAUGGGUGGAAGUGUGACUAAGGAAGUGUUUGUGUCUCAUUUUAGAAGCGUCUCAACCACAGACCUGGUUCCCUGUACUUAAUCUGCAUUUGGGGAACCCAUACAGUGCUGUGAUAUCUAACGUUUCUUCCGCUUAGUAUCAGUUUGUUGUUUCAGGAUUUUCCUUGUGUUUCCCUUCGUCAUAGUUUCUUAAAUUACUGCAUUGUUUACUCAUCAGUUCUUUUUCUGUGUGUGUAAGCAUAUGGAAUUUUACAGAAGAGUCAAAAGAAGCUGUUUUAAUUAGAGUCAAAGGGCAAAGUCACUAGUAGCAACUGCAAUAUACAAUAAAUAAAUAGACUUUUAGAAGCAUCUAAUAAAUAGUCUCAAUGAGGAAGCAACAUAAAGAGAGGUUUGCAUAUGAAUGUAAGAAAUAAGUUACCUAAGUUGGAGAGAGUUGAAAAAUAU